AGAGCCAGAUCAUGGCUCAGGAUGAACGCUGGCGGUAUGCCUAACACAUGCAAGUCGUACGAGAGUUUUUAACUCAAGUGGCGGACGGGUGAGUAACACGUGAGAAUUUGCCUUUAGGAGGGGGAUAACAGAGUGAAAACGCUGCUAAUACCCCAUAUGCUUUCGAGUGAAAUGGAUUUAUUCGCCUAAAGAGAAGCUCGCGGCUGAUUAGCUUGUUGGUAAGGUAAUGGCUUACCAAGGCGACGAUCAGUAUCUGGUUUGAGAGGACGAUCAGACACACUGGAACUGAGACACGGUCCAGACUCCUACGGGAGGCAGCAGUGGGGAAUUUUCCGCAAUGGGCGAAAGCCUGACGGAGCAAUACCGCGUGAGGGAUGACGGCCUAUGGGUUGUAAACCUCUUUUCUCAGGGAGGAAAUCAAUGACGUUACCUGAGGAAUAAGCAUCGGCUAACUCCGUGCCAGCAGCCGCGGUAAGACGGAGGAUGCAAGUGUUAUCCGGAAUCACUGGGCGUAAAGCGUCUGUAGGUGGCUUAACAAGUCAACUGUUAAAUCUUGAAGCUCAACUUCGAAAUCGCAGUCGAAACUGUUAGGCUAGAGUAUAGUAGGGGUAAAGGGAAUUUCCAGUGGAGCGGUGAAAUGCGUAGAGAUUGGAAAGAACACCGAUGGCGAAGGCACUUUACUGGGCUAUUACUGACACUCAGAGACGAAAGCUAGGGUAGCAAAUGGGAUUAGAUACCCCAGUAGUCCUAGCCGUAAACAAUGGAUACUAGAUGUUGGGCAGAUCGACCUGUUCAGUAUUAAAGCUAACGCGUUAAGUAUCCCGCCUGGGAAGUAUGCGCGCAAGCGUGAAACUCAAAGGAAUUGACGGGGGCCCGCACAAGCGGUGGAGCAUGUGGUUUAAUUCGAUGCAACGCGAAGAACCUUACCAGGGUUUGACAUGAUACGAAUUUUUUUGAAAGAAAAAAGUGCCGUUUGGAACGUAUACACAGGUGGUGCAUGGCUGUCGUCAGCUCCUGUCCUGAGAAGUUUGGGUUAAAUCCCCCCACCAAGCCGCACCCCUUAUUUUUAUUUGCCUUUUUUUGGAACU
rnacentral:rRNA from 1 species